rnacentral:rRNA from 1 species
AACGAACGCUGGCGGCAGGCCUAACACAUGCAAGUCGAGCGAAGCCUUCGGGCUUAGCGGCGGACGGGUGAGUAACGCGUGGGAACGUGCCCUUUGGUACGGAAUAGCCCCGGGAAACUGGGAGUAAUACCGUAUGUGGUCGAGAGACGAAAGAUUUAUCGCCAAAGGAUCGGACCGCGUUGGAUUAGGUAGUUGGUUGGGUAAUGGCCUACCAAGCCGACGAUCCAUAGCUGGUUUGAGAGGAUGAUCAGCCACACUGGGACUGAGACACGGCCCAGACUCCUACGGGGGGCAGCAGUGGGGAAUCUUAGACAAUGGGGGAAACCCUGAUCUAGCCAUGCCGCGUGAUCGAUGAAGGCCUUAGGGUUGUAAAGAUCUUUCAGUGGGGAAGAUAAUGACUGUACCCACAGAAGAAGCCCCGGCUAACUCCGUGCCAGCAGCCGCAGUAAUAC